GAUGAACGCUGACAGAAUGCUUAACACAUGCAAGUCUUUGGCGAAGCUGUGCUUGCACAGCCUAGCCAAGGCGGACGGGUGAGUAACGCGUAAGGAACUUGCCCUGCAGUCAGGGAUAACAGACGGAAACGACUGAUAAGACCUGGUAAAGUCAGGCGGACUCAUGUCCAGCCUGAUGAAAAGAGAUGCUGCAGGAGAGCCUUGCGUCCUAUUAGCUUGUUGGUGGGGUAACGGCCCACCAAGGCGAUGAUAGGUAGCCGGCCUGAGAGGGUGGACGGCCACAAGGGGACUGAGAUGCGGCCCGUACUACUACGGGAGGCAGCAGUGGGGAAUAUUGGACCAUGGGGGCAACCCUGAUCCAGCAAUUCUGUGUGCACGAUGAAGGUUUUCGGAGUGGAAAGAGCUUUCGGCAGAGAAGAAAAAAAUGACGGUACCUGCAGAAGAAGCGACGGCUAAAUACGUG
rnacentral:rRNA from 1 species